ACCAGCAGGCAGUUCUCUGCGGAGUAGAUUCACCCCCAUGUCUCCGGAGCACAGAGAUGGGCAGGGGACAAUCUCCCACUGCUGGGGGCUCUGUGGAUUUCCUUAGCUCUGUGGAUUUUGCUGUGUGGAUUCCCCCGACCUGAGGGCUGGCUCUGACCACACCGGGAAAUGAUGCUGAAGAGGGAAAGGGAGCUGGGGCUGCAGCUGGAGCCCCUGCCCCGCACAUGGGGCGUGAGUGGACUGGACAGGAGGGAGUGCAGAAUUUCAUGCUGCGCUAUAGAGAGAUCCCUUACCGCUGGAUUGGCCUCCAGAAGGAACAGGGCGAGGGCCAGCCCUGGAAGUGGACCAACGGUACCAUAUUCAACAACCUUGACAACAAAGAGGUGUUCUUACACCUGGAAAAGACUAUAAAAGGCUGAUGCCUCAUCUCCAUCUUGUCUUCAAUCCUGCUUCUUACCUCUGGAGGGACUUUGCUACAAGCUGAAGCUCUGUACAGAGGACUGAUGACCCUUCCCAGCUGGGGAUGCACUCCAGAGACUUGAUUUAAACCUGCAGUUUAUUCUAUCACUGCUACAAGCCUGAACCAAGAACUUUGCCAUUACUGUAUGUAAUUGAUUCCAUUUAACCAAUUCUAACUCUCAUCUCUAUCUUUUUCCUUUUAUGAAUAAACCUUUAGAUU